UACGAGGGGUCCAAGCGUUGUUCGGAAUCAUUGGGCGUAAAGCGGGUGUAGGUGGCUUUGUAAGUCAGGAGUGAAAGCCCUGGGCUCAACCCAGGAAGUGCUUUUGAUACUGCAAAGCUUGAGUGUGGGAGAGGAUCGUGGAAUUCCAGGUGUAGUGGUGAAAUACGUAGAUAUCUGGAGGAACACCGGUGGCGAAGGCGGCGAUCUGGCCCAACACUGACACUCAGACCCGAAAGUGCGGGGAUCAAACAGG
rnacentral:rRNA from 1 species